GAUGAACGCUGGCGGCGUGCUUAACACAUGCAAGUCGAACGAUGAAGCCCAGCUUGCUGGGUGGAUUAGUGGCGAACGGGUGAGUAACACGUGAGUAACCUGCCCUUAACUCUGGGAUAAGCGUGGGAAACGGGGUCUAAUACCGGAAAGACGCGUUCACUGGACGGGGGGUGUUGGAAAGAUUUAGCGGUUUUGGAUGGACUCGCGGCCUAUCAGGUUGUUGGUGAGGUAAUGGCUCACCAAGGCGACGACGGGUAGCCGGCCUGAGGGGGUGACCGGCCACACUGGGACUGAGACACGGCCCCGAGUCGUACGGGAGGCAGCAGUGGGGAAUAGUGCAGAAUGGGCGCCAGCCUGAUGCAGCGACGCCGCGUGAGGGAUGACGGCCUACGGGUUUUAAACCUCUUUCAGUGGGGAAGAAGCGAAAGUGACGGUACCUGCAGAAGAAGCACCGGCUAACUACGUG
rnacentral:rRNA from 1 species